GUCAUGCUUCCACAAUUAAUUGCUUUCAGGAGGAAGUUCUGGUGGAGUAUUCACAGAAGUGCUUUUUUGUCCUUCGGUUUGUGAGUCGGCUUUCCUUCUCAGAGGGAGAGGGGGUAAACAGGUUGCAUUCUCGCUCUGGGUAGAAGUCCUUAAAGGUAAAGGUAAAGGGACCCCUGACCAUUAGGUCCAGCCAUGGCCGACUCUGGAGUUGCGGUGCUCAUCUUGCUUUAUUGGCUGAAAGAGCCAGCAUACAGCUUCCGGGUCAUGUGGCCAGCAUGACUAAGCCGCUUCUGGCGAACCAGAGCAGCGCACGUAAACGCCAUUUACCUUCCCGCCGGAACGGUACCUAUUUAUCUACUUGCACUUUGAUGUGCUUUCAAACUUCUAGGUUGGCAGGAGCAGGGACCGAGCAACGGGAGCUUACCCCGUCGCGGGGAUUCCAACCGCCGACCUUCUGAUCGGCAAGUCCUAGGCUCUGUGGUUUAACCCACAGCACCACCCACGUCCCUAGGCUUUGUGAAAUACAAGUGCGGUCCUAAGCGCACGUCCCUAUGUGCAUCUAGGACAGGGGUGCUUCUCUGCCUGUCCCUCAGAACUCUCCUCAUGCCACACGCCUUCCCCCCACCCCUUACUGGUCCCGCUUUGCACCUUCCUUGAGUACUUUAGCUGAGUUGGUUAUGAUCCUGAACUCAGAUAAAGCUUCUUGCUUUCCUGGAAGGUCUGUGUGGGAUGGGCAUUGAAGAAAACUGGAUAAAGAAACAGGUGUGUGCAGUGGCAGAGGAAGAGGAGUUUGGGGGGAGCACACCACCCCCAGUGGCACACCACGAUCCCAGUGGAGUGCCAUCGUGGCUGCCCCCUUGCCCAUGCUGGGAGCCACGCCCCCGCAGGCAGCGUGCCACACCCCCAGGUGGCAUGCCAGACUCCUGCAGGCGGCACGCCAUGCCACGCCCCCAGGACACCCGCCACACCCCCGGGAUGCGCGCCAGCCCCACCCCCACCUGCUCUCCGCCCCCCCGGUGCUGGAGCAUGAAACUCCGCCACUGGGGGUGGGGGUGAAGAUUCAGUUUGGAAUUUGCAAAUUAAACCACAGAACUCACUCCUGCAGGAAACUGUGACGACCACAAAUUUCGGUGGCUUUAAUAAUAAUAAUAAUAAUAAUAAUAAUAAUAAUAAUUUAUUUAUACCCCGCCCAUCUGGCUGGUUUUCCCCAGCCACUCUGGGCGGCUUCCAAAAAAAUAUCAAGAUACUGUAAUACAUCAAACAUUAAAAGCUUCCCUAAACAGGUCUGCCUUCAGAUGUCUUCUAAAAGUCUGGUAGUUGUUCUCUCUGACAUCUGGUGGGAGGGCAUUCCACAGGGAGGGCGGCACUACUGAGAAGGCCCUCUGCCUGGUUCCCUGUAACUUGGCUUCUCACAGUGAGGGAACCAUCAGAAGGCCCUCGGAGAUGGACCUCAGUAUGCUGGUAGAACGAUGGGGGUGGAGACGCUCCUUCAGAUAUACUGGAUUAAAAGAGGAUUAGACAAAUUCAUGGAAGAGGAGGCUCUCAAUGCCUGCAAGCUAUGAUGGCUGUGUUCUACCUGCACAGCUGGAGGCAGCAAAGCUUCUGAAUACCAGUUGCUGGAAACCACAGGGCUCGACUUCUGCUUGUGGGUUUCCCGCAGGGAUCUAGAUGACAACUGUGAGAACAGGGUGCUGGACAGAUGGGCUUUUGGCCUGAUCCUGCAAGCUCUUACGUUCUUAUGAAUUCUGGCCAUUCUCACUUCAUAAGAAAAGUACACAGCUGUUGCCCAUUAAGAUGCUCAGGAGGACUCCCCAUCCUUGGAGGUUUUUAAGGAGACGCUGGGACGGCCAUCUGUCCUGGAUGCUUUAGUUGAGAUUCCUGCACUGAAGGAGGUUGGACUAGAUGACAUUCAGUGUCCCUUGAAACUCUACAAUUCUACAAUGCAGGAAGGUUCUCUAACCCUCCUCCCCAAACUGACCGUUUGAUAUAGUAUAGUUCUGUAGCCAGUGGCAUAGCGUGGGUUGCCUGGGCCAGGCAGGUGACAGACAACCACCAAUGUCCCUUCCAACUCUACAAUUGUGUGGUUCUACAACUUUCAAGCAAUGAUUACAAAUGGAUGCAAAAAUGUGGCAAACACAGGAGUUGGAAAAGGGACAGCUAAGAGAUAAGGAUAUUUGUUUUAAAAAAUGGGCGCAAAUUAGAGAUAAAUUUGUAAUGUAAGCAGCAUGUAAUAGGGGAAGAAAUGGAAAUACCCAAGGAAGAGAGUGGGAAGCCAGUUUUUGGGGAAAUUGUAUUAAAUUAGUUUUAAUUUCACAUUGAUGUGUUAUAAAUUUGGGGAAUGAAUAAAAAUUAAUUGGCAUAAACAAACAAACAAACAAAUGUUGUGAACCAAGGUUAAGAUUGGGAAAAUGAGAAGUGGAGAAGGGCCAAGAUGGACAGAUUCACACAUCCCUGCUCCAGAUGCAAUCCCUACAGAAAGACUUGCUGAUGUGAAUAUGGGCCAAAUCUCCCCCUCCAUAAUCAUCUUCUUCAAAAUGGUUCUGCUCUACUUUCCUGUCGCAACUGAGGAAGAAUUUUGAACCUACUGGGAGCAGCAGCCGUAGUGCCGGCAUCUGACCCGGGUGGAGAAGCCCGCCCCCUUUCGCAGCCCGAGUCACUGGCAGCCAAUUGGGAUGGGGAAAGAAGAAGAAGAGUUUGGAUUUGAUAUCCCGCCUUUCACUCCCUUUAAGGAGUCUCAAAGCGGCUAACAUUCUCCUUUCCCUUCCUCCCCCACAACAAACACUCUGUGAGGUGAGUGGGGCUGAGAGACUUCAAGGAAGUGUGACUGGCCCAAGGUCACCCAGCAGCUGCAUGUGGAGGAGCGGAGAUGCGAACCCGGUUCCCCAGAUUAGGAGACUACCGCUCUCAACCACUACACCACACUGGCUCUCCGAAAGACUCCGAUAGCAUCCCUUUACAUAAAUAAAGCUAUAUGUCAAAUUGUUGUGUUUGGACAUGGGGCUGAAAUAUCGUGUGCCAAGCGACGAGCUUAUAAACAUUAAAGCCAUAUGCUGCAGCGAGGAGCUCUGUGGCCCAAGUGCGCAGGCAUUGCUGCAGAAGCCUCAUUUAUCCGCCGAGCUCUGCUCGGGAAAUUGGCAGGGAAAGCAAAGAUACGAACCCAGCCUGACCCCGCUGCAUGGAGCAUGCUGAGCCCCAGGGGCUGGAGAAGAAGGAAAUCCAAACCAUUUACAUGGGCCUUCGGACAUUUAUCAUCCAAUAAUCUGUUUGGCUCAAGUAGAGGCAUUUAAUGUGUCAAUCACGUCCGCAUUACUGUAGCCAUUCAUUAUUACAGCAGGAUGAGAUACUGAAGAAAACUCCCAGCAAGGGCAAGCAGGGUGGGUGGAUGGAUGGGGGAAUACUUUCUGAAGGCUUAGGAAGGUUGGAUCACUCCCGGAAGAUGUCUUGGCUUUCAGUGUUCUGAGCAGAAUGGAAUCAUACUCAGUUAGAUGUACACGAUGCAAAGAUUGAAUGAGAAGUCAAUGUACAAUCGGGUACAACCAGAGUGAGGGACCUGCCUCAGGCAGUAGGUGUUCUAAAUAAGUGGCAUACCCUCCAACAUUUCUCAGAUGAAAAUAGGGACAUCCCCAGAGCCUAGGACUUGCCGAUCAGAAGGUCGGCAGUUCGAAUCCGCACGACGGGGUGAGCUCCCGUUGUUCGGUCCCUGCUCCUGCCAACCUAGCAGUUCGAAAGCACGUCAAGUGCAAGUAGAUAAAUAGGUACCGCUCUGAUGGGAAGGUAAACGGCGUUUCCAUGCGCUGCUCUGGUUCGCCAGAAGCGGCUUAGUCAUGCUGGCCACAUGACCCGGAAGCUGUCUGCGGACAAACGCUGGCUCCCUUGGCCAAUAAAGCGAGAUGAGCGCCGCAACCCCAGAGUUGGUCACGACUGGACCUAAUGGUCAGGGGUCCCUUUACCUUUAUCUUUAAGGGGGGCAAUUUAAGAAGCUGUUCCACAGUUAAUACCAUGCCGGAAAGCGACACACGGCCACUAUUGAAUCAAUGUGUGUCAGAACACUGCGUAAAACAACAGCAUUCCUUCAGCAUGCAAAAAAAGCAAACAAGAAGAUUUCAUGAUGAUCGAAAGCAGCGACGGUGGAAGAGUCUGGAAUCCCAGAGAAUGGGCCAGGGCACGUUCAGAUUUAUGACCUUUUCAAUUUGGAAACGAGCUUUUUAGGGAAUAGGCAGGCUCGGUAUUAAACAGCUCAAAGUCCUGUUUCCAGGAAAUGCAAAUUCUGUAACAAGAAAAGGGGGUUCUGAAACCUGUCUGAACGGUGCCAAGCAAAUUUGCACAGUUUUUCUGUGUGUCCUCUAAACACUCUGGAAGUUGGGUGACUACCUAUCAGGGAUAUAGUAGCAAUGGAUUUCCUGAAUCGCUUGCCCCCAGGUGGGUCUAAGUGAGAUUGGAGAUCCCUCCCAAAUCUUGGGAUUCUAUGUGUCUAUUCUCCAGAAUCACCUCCAGUGUGUGUUGUUGUUGUUGUUGUUGUUGUUGUUGUUGUUGUUAUUUCUAUACUUCCCUUCAUCCAAGGAUCACAGGGCAGUUUACAAUAUAAAAAAACAAAAAUACAUACCAUAGUAACAAAAAGAAUACUCCGUAUGCACAAAGUUUAAAAGACCAUGGGUUUUUAAAAUUUGGGGUGCCAGGAUAGUUCAGCUGGUAGAGCAUAGGGUCUUAGAAUCAUAGAACUGUAGAGUUGCAACCCCCUGCAACUCUACAAUUCAAUGGGGUUGGACUAGAUGACCCUCAGUGUCCCUUCCAACUCUACAAUUCAAUGGUUCCAUGAAUUAAUGAGCAGGGGGCAACUAGGGGUACCCUAGCUGAGAUACAUGGAAGUCAUCUCUUUGUCUCCCUCUAUAGGUUAAAGGUAAAGGACCCUUGGAUGAUUAAGUCCAGUCAAAGGUUUCUAUGGGGUUGUGGUGCUCAUCUCACUUUCAGGCCAAGGGAGCUGGUGUUUGUCCACAGACAGCUUUCCAGGUCAUGUGGCCAGCAGGACUAAACUGCUUCUGGUGCAACGGGACACUGUGACGGAAACCAGAGCACACGGAAACGCCGUUUACCUUCCCACUACAGUG